GUAGAGGUUUUUCUGGGCAGAGGCAAGAGAGUGAGGGUCUGUGUAUCUGAAGCAAAGCCAGCUCCAGCCUCUCUGCCACGCUGAGAUUAGGGGAGAAGAGGAGGCUUUCACAUAACCGACUCUCCCUGUGGCGUGACUGCAGAGAGGCAGCAAGCAAAAGCAGGCAAGCAGCUGGGCUGGCCGGCUGGAUGCAUGAGGGAGGCAAGGGAUUUAAAGAAAUAACAUGGGAACCGGUGCAGGGGAAGAAAGUGAGCCUCAGUUUCUAUGGGAGCAGCCAGCCAGAGGAGCCUUGAAGUCGGAGAGGAGGAAGUAAGGCCAGGUGUGCAGCGAGAACAUGAUGGGCCCCAAGGUUGAGCUGAGAGGGGAAGCCAAGUGUCGUGCCAAGUAGCAUUAGCUCCACUAGUGCAUGACAAGGUGGAUAAUGUCAAGUCCCCCCUCAUAACUCUCAUGGUAGGCCAAGUGAAAGAGGCAAACACUGAAACUUGACAGUGUGGGCGCACACACCUGCAAACGAUCUCUACCGGGAUUUGAGCUGGAAUAUUGUCAAUCAGAGUGAGCUGGAAGGAGGGUAUGGGAUGUUGUG